CACGUAGUUAGCCGGCGCUUCUUCUGCAGGUACCGUCACUUGCGCUUCUUCCCUGCUGAAAGAGGUUUACAACCCGAAGGCCUUCAUCCCUCACGCGGCGUCGCUGCAUCAGGCUUUCGCCCAUUGUGCAAUAUUCCCCACUGCUGCCUCCCGUAGGAGUCUGGGCCGUGUCUCAGUCCCAGUGUGGCCGGUCGCCCUCUCAGGCCGGCUACCCGUCGUCGCCUUGGUAGGCCAUCACCCCACCAACAAGCUGAUAGGCCGCGAGCCCAUCCCUGACCGAAAAACUUUCCAACCACCCCCAUGCGAGGACGGCUCAUAUCCGGUAUUAGCCCGGUUUCCCGGAGUUAUCCCGAAGUCAAGGGCAGGUUACUCACGUGUUACUCACCCGUUCGCCACUAAUCCGCCAGCAAGCUGGGCAUCAUCGUUCGACUUGCAUGUGUUAAGCACGCCGCCAGCGUUCGUCCUCGUAGCCAGGAUCGAAACCUACUCUAGUACGACUCG
rnacentral:rRNA from 1 species